rnacentral:lncRNA from 1 species
GCAAAGUCACAUAGUGUCACUUGGGUCUACAUGCAGACUCUCUCAUCUCUGGGCAACCAGGCUUUAGUUGCCCACACUUAGCAUUACAACGCAGAGCAAUUACAUCAACAUAUAUUCAUUAAGCACUUACUUUCUUAACUUUCACCUAAAGGCUACUGUUUUACAUUAAAAAAAAAAAACUAACUCAUGAGAUUAGACAUUUAAAUUAUCUUAUUGACGUUGUAAAUCCCCUACCUCUGUCCAGGGAGAGCCCAUUCAGUGGCCUUCCAAGUCCUAUAGAUAUGAAUCCUGUGUUUUUCAUGAUCUCUUGUCUUGAUUGUUAUUUACAUUUUGUUUGUUUUAAUCUGGGUAUGAUAUAAGCUGUUACCUGCUUCACUAGCAUAGUUCCUGCAUGCCUGGAAUGAAACAUCAACGUCUCUUGUUCCUUUUUUAAAAGAAAAUUAUUUUUAUUUAUUCACUUCUUACCCUGCAAACUACUCUCUGUCCUUGUCACCCCUCCUACAAUAUGUCCCCUCCUAGUCCCCUUCUCUUCUGAGAAGGUGGAGGCACCCUCUGAGUAUUGCCUACCCUGGUACUUCAAGUCUAUGGGGCUAGGUACAUUUUCCCACUGAGUACAAACAACACAGUCUAGCUAGAAGAACAUAUCCCAGGGACAGGCAACAGCUUUUGAUUGUUUAAGACCCACAAGAAGACCAAGCUGAACAUCUACUACAUAUGUGCAGGGUUGGGAGCCAGCUCCAGCCCAUAUAUGCUCUUUGGUUUGUGGUUCAGAGUCUGAGAACCCAAUAAGUCUUGGUUAGUUAACUCUGUUGGACUUCCUGUGGUGUCCCUAUCCCUUAUAGGGCCAGAAAUCCUUCCCCCAACUCUUCCAUAGGAGUCCCCAAGCUCUGUCCACUGUUUAGCUGUAGGUCUCUGCAUCCCUCUAAGUCAGCUGCUUGGUGGAGCCUUUCAGAGAACAGCCUUGCUAGACUGCCAUCUACAAGCAUAACAGAGUAUCAUUAAUAGUGUCAGGAAUUGGUGCUUGCCCAUGAGAUGGGUUCAAGGUGGGCUGAUUAUUGCCCAUUACCUCAGUCUCUGCUCCCUCUCCUGUCUCUGCAUUUAUUGUAGACAGUAUAAAUUUUAGGUUGAAAGUUUUGUGAGUAGGUUGGUGUUCCUAUUGCUCUACUGAGGUUCCUGCCUGGCUUCAGAAGGUGGUCUCUUCACAUUCCAUAUUCCCAGUGCUGUGAGUUACAGCUAAGCUCAUCCCCAUUGAUUCUUAAGCACCAAGUCAGCUCAUAGAGACUAUGAUAAUGUACUGGAAUGGUUGCUAUUGAGUUAGUUUUAGGACUUUUCAAUU